GAGUCCCUAGGCAACUGGACUCAAAAUCCAGUUCGGGUUAAACCUCGUGCGGGUUCGACUCGCUCCUGCGGCACUCC
rnacentral:tRNA from 1 species